rnacentral:rRNA from 1 species
GUCUACAGCCAUGGCACCCUAAACGUGACUGAUCUCGUCUGAUCUUGGAAGCUCAUCAGGGUCAGGCCUGGUUAGUACUUGGAUGGAGACCACCUAGGAAUACCAGGUGCUAAUGCCU